rnacentral:tRNA from 1 species
UGGGCGUUGGUGAAACGGCAUCACCCCGAGCUUUUACCUCGUGUGUUGAGGGUUCAAAUCCCUUGCGCCCUA